rnacentral:lncRNA from 1 species
CGGCUCACGUAGGUUCGUUCGCGUGGUCUUGUUACGCCUCGCUGGAUCGUGUUCAGUCAUGCCGUCCUUGCGCGGCGUGAUUGUCGGUGAGUCAGGUUAAAUUCUUAAAUAGGUCGCGCCUGCGCCUAAUUGAGUCUAUAAAAGCCUGCACAUUCAGUUUUGCUAGCUACAAUGCAGUGCGGCUGGCGUGAGCUGUCUCCACGAUGCGCUUCGAGCGUGUCGAUUUCGCCGUUCUUUAUGUUGGCGUUAACGACCUUGAAAGCAACAUGGAUCCACAAGAAAUGUGCGACAACAUCAAGGUAAGUCUACUGAAAUCACAAAAUUUGAAACAAUAAGCGCUAAUAGUUGUGUUUUCUUUUAAAUUUUAGGCCUUGAUUGUUCAACGAGACGGCCCCCGUCGUGCUGGUUUUCAAGGUGCUCCCUCGCUGCCUAGAAGAUGCUGAUGCGGAAUAGAAAAUGCAUAAACGUCGCUUGCUCAACCGCAAAUUGACGGCUACGCUGAAGCGCAUGCCGUGUCUGCGGAAUUUGAACCCCGAGCUUUCCAGAGUUCCUUGGAAAAUCCUCCCAUGCACCUGCCAUGUACAUUGCCCUCCUCCUCGAUGUGGCGUGCAAGAUGGCAGCAGCAGCUGUGGGAACAGUUGAAGAGGCGAAGAAAGGUCCACUUUAUAAUAGGUUGUAUGUAAAUAAAACUGAUCGACCUCAA